CCUCUCCUUUCUGGAGCUACCGAUGGCGCACAAUUUCGACGGGCGGCUCCCCGCUCCAAAUCCUCGCGUCCAACCCGCGGAUGCCGCUCCUUCUCUCCCUCGCUGACCGCCUUGACGCAGCCGCGUAACAGGCUCUACUUUCCCUUCCGAUGCGGCUUCUGGCACAGAGGAGGGCUUAGGCGGCCUCCUCUCCCUACCGAGGCGACACGGCCAUGGGAGGAGCCAAUACGGCCAAUGCUCCAUCCAGGAUGCAUCUACUCGGUUGUUUUUCCUCGGCGGUGGGAUCCGAGACGAGGGAACUCAGUAGAUGCAUCUCCUCAAGGCGGUGGACCUCAAGGUCCUCGGGGCUAGCGGGUGAGCAUCAGGUGGCGGCGGGGAACCCUAGACGGCGCGGCGCCCGACCGGGCGAGAUCGUCAUUCAUGGCGUUUCUGUUCCUCCACCUCCACUGGUCUUCCUCAUAUGCCCGUGCCGAGCCUGCUGCCCCGCCCUGAUCUCCCUGGUGUGGUGCUUGAUUGGCAGAGGGAAACGUUGGGAGCCCUCGCAGCGUCUUCCAUGCCGCUGAUGCGGUGGCUGGGCGGUGAGAGAGGUCGGACAGGCCUUCGCCAUGGCACAACGCAACGGCAAGCCGUGCCAGCCGUGUGUGGCCACGAGUGGGCGCCCAAGCCGGCGUAGGACCUGAGGGUGCCCACCGGCAGGGACCACCUCGCAUUGGUGGCGACCGAGGAGAGCCCGUCAAGAAGAACUGUGACUGCGCCUGCCGGUAAGUUCGCGUGGUCUGAUUUCGAUGGGAUUAACCCGCUGAUUUUAGGAUGCCACUCUUGCUGCUGCAUCGCUGGGAGGAGCGCCGCUGCUUCGAUGGCACGAGCGUUUGGUGGCCCCAUAACUAGGAGGUGCGCCAAUUGCUGCUCCAAAGGAUGAGCGUGCCAUCACUGCCAGAAGGAGGAGCUCCUGGUGGUCGUCUUCACGUCAACAAGGCUGUGUGUGCUCGCUUACAGAUCCAGUGGCUGGUUGCAGAAUGGAAGGACAUGAGUGGGAUCAUGAUAAACAUGGAGGAGAAGAUAUGAAGGGUAUUAGAGGUGGGACUGAGCCAUGAGAUUCUUUAACAACUGGCAGAGGCAAGCUGGAGCAUUUUUGUCCAUUCAUGUGGCUAAAGGCAGCACGCCUCACUGAAGACACCCCUUGACGCCAAGAAACAAAUGGGUCUUAAAAGGUGGAAAACUAGCAUGUAAUUCAGUUGUGACUGUGCUUCUUAGCCUUACUGUGCAAUUUAAUCUGCUCUGCUUUCUACAGAAAA